GACGAACGCUGGCGGCGUGCUUCACACAUGCAAGUCGAACGAUGAAGCCGGAGCUUGCUCUGGUGAAUUAGUGGCGAACGGGUGAGUAACACGUGAGUAACCUGCCCUUGACUCUGGGGAAACUGCUAGAAAUGGUAGCUAAUACCGGAUACGACCCUCGGAGGCAUCUUCAGGGGGUGGAAAGAAUUUCGGUCAAGGAUGGACUCGCGGCCUAUCAGCUAGUUGGUGAGGUAAUGGGUCACCAAGGCGACGACGGGUAGCCGGCCUGAGAGGGUGACCGGCCACACUGGGACUGAGACACGGCCCAGACUCCUACGGGAGGCAGCAGUGGGGAAUAUUGCACAAUGGGCGCAAGCCUGAUGCAGCAACGCCGCGUGAGGGAUGACGGCCUUAGGGUUGUAAACCUCUUUUAGUAGGGAAGAAGCGAAAGUGACGGUACCUGCAGAAAAAGCACCGGCUAACUACGUGCCAGCCGCCGCCAGCG
rnacentral:rRNA from 1 species